UACAGAGGGGGCAAGCGUUGUUCGGAAUUACUGGGCGUAAAGGGCGCGUAGGCGGCCUGCUAAGUCGAACGUGAAAUCCCCGAGCUCAACUCGGGAACUGCGUCCGAUACUGGCAGGCUUGAAUCCGGGAGAGGGAUGCGGAAUUCCAGGUGUAGCGGUGAAAUGCGUAGAUAUCUGGAGGAACACCGGUGGCGAAGGCGGCAUCCUGGACCGGCAUUGACGCUGAGGCGCGAAAGCGUGGGGAGCAAACGGG
rnacentral:rRNA from 1 species